UAGUUCUGGAAUAAUAAGAGACAGUGGGAGCACGAGGAAAAAAGAAGCCUUUCCUAGAAUUCAUGAAAAACCUGCAACUUGACCAAUUCAUAGAUAAAAUCAGGCUACUGUGGUGUUAGAGAACUAUCCCCUCCAACCAACUCUCACCAAUUAAAAAUUCUCAAUGGUCUCUUUAGAUCAUUAAUUUCGGAUAACCCAACACCCACCAACAUGAAAAUCUUCCUUUUGCAUAGUUAUAGUCCACUGACAAAUGAACCGAACAGACACCAGUACAACAAGCAAUUAAUGUUGCAAACAAGGGAAGAGAACAGGAAUUAUCAGAAAAUCUCAAAAGGUUUUCCGUUGAUCAUAUUUAAACCAAAACUCAAGAACUCAAUCUGAAAAUACCCACGACUACAAAUUUAGCUCCAAAAAUUAAAUAAGAAGUCCAAUUCAAUAAUCCUGCAGAAAAUGGAAAACAACUUCACUUGAUUUCAAAGGUUUCUAUGCAGCGAAUAACUCAAAAGGUUAUCAUUGAAUCAGCAUUUCAAACUACUAAAACAAUCUGUAAAAGGAAAAAAGAAAAGAGAAAAAAAAA
rnacentral:misc_RNA from 1 species